GGGCAAAAUGGCACCGUAACUUCGGGAGAAGGUGCGCCUCUUGGUGUGGUCACGUGCGUGACUGAGCAUCGAGGGGUCGCAGUAACCUGGCCGCUGCGACUGUUUAUCAAAAACACAGCACUCUGCAAACACGAAAGUGGACGUAUAGGGUGUGACGCCUGCCCGGUGCUGGAAGGUUAAUUGAUGGGGUCAGCCGCAAGGCGAAGCUCUUGAUCGAAGCCCCAGUAAACGGCGGCCGUAACAAUAACGGUCCUAAGGUAGCGAAAUUCCUUGUCGGGUAAGUUCCGACCUGCACGAAUGGCGUAACGACAGCGGCGCUGUCUCCACCCGAGACUCAGUGAAAUUGAAAUCUCUGUGAAGAUGCAGCGUUCCCGCGGCAAGACGGAAAGACCCCGUGAACCUUUACUAUAGCUUUACACUGAACGUUGAGUUCUUCUGUGUAGGAUAGGUGGGAGGCUACGAAACCAGGACGCUAGUUCUGGUGGAGCCAUCCUUGAAGUACCACCCUGAAGUGCUUGACGUUCUAACCUAGGUCCGUAAUCCGGAUCGGGGACCGUGUAUGGUGGGUAGUUUGACUGGGGCGGUCUCCUCCCAAAGAGUAACGGAGGAGCACGAAGGUACGCUCAGCGCGGUCGGACAUCGCGCACUGUGUGCAAAGGCAUAAGCGUGCUUGACUGCGAGAUCGACGGAUCAAGCAGGUACGAAAGUAGGUCUUAGUGAUCCGGUGGUUCUGUAUGGAAGGGCCAUCGCUCAACGGAUAAAAGGUACUCCGGGGAUAACAGGCUGAUACCGCCCAAGAGUUCAUAUCGACGGCGGUGUUUGGCACCUCGAUGUCGGCUCAUCACAUCCUGGGGCUGUAGCCGGUCCCAAGGGUAUGGCUGUUCGCCAUUUAAAGUGGUACGCGAGCUGGGUUCAGAACGUCGUGAGACAGUUCGGUCCCUAUCUGUCGUGGGCGUUGGAGAUUUGAGGGGGGCUGCUCCUAGUACGAGAGGACCGGAGUGGACGUUCCGCUGGUGUUCGGGUUGUCAAGCCCAUGGCAUUGCCCGGUAGCUACGAACGGAAGUGAUAACCGCUGAAAGCAUCUAAGCGGGAAGCACGCCCCAAGAUGAGAUCUCCCGAGAGCUUGACUCUCCUAAAGGCACCAUCAAGACUAGGUGGUUGAUAGGCACGGUGUGGAAGUGCAGCAAUGCAUUGAGCUUACGUGUACUAAUGAGCCGUGAGGCUUGACCA
rnacentral:rRNA from 1 species